rnacentral:rRNA from 1 species
GUCUGCACGAUUAAUGUGCAGUCUGACCUGCCCACUGAAAUUAAUUUAAAGGGCUGCGGUAAUUUGACCGUGCGAAGGUAGCAUAGUCACUAGUCUUUUAAUUGAAGGCUUGAAUGAAUGGUUGGACGAUAAAGGAACUGUCUUAGUUAUUAGAGUUAUGAAUUUAACUUCUGUGUGAAAAGGCACAGAUAGUUUAGGGGGACGAUAAGACCCUAUAAAACUUUACACUGCAUAUUUAUUUUUUAAAGAUUUAUAAACUGAAGAUAAAAUAUUAUGUGUUGGGCUGGGGCGGCAAGAAUAUAAAGCUAACUGUUCUGUAUAAUGAAAUACAUAUUAGUAGAAGUUGAACCUUCACUGUGAGGAUUAUAAGAUUAAGUUACUUUAGGGAUAACAGCGUGAUUUUCUUUGAGAGUUCUUAUCGACAAGAAUGAGUUGCGACCUCGAUGUUGAAUUAAGGUUAGUUUCUAGGUGGAGAAAUCUAGAGCUAUAGGUCUGUUCGACCUUUAAUACCUUACGUGAU